CCUACGGGGGGCAGCAGUGAGGAAUAUUGGUCAAUGGGCGCGAGCCUGAACCAGCCAAGUAGCGUGAAGGAUGACUGCCCUACGGGUUGUAAACUUCUUUUAUAAAGGAAUAAAGUGAGGCACGUGUGCCUUUUUGUAUGUACUUUAUGACUAAGGAUCGGCUAACUCCGUGCCAGCAGCCGCGGGAAUACGGAGGAUCCGAGCGUUAUCCGGAUUUAUUGGGUUUAAAGGGAGAGUAGAUGGGUUGUUAAGUCAGUUGUGAAAGUUUGCGGCUCAACCGUAAAAUUGCAAUUGAUACUGGCGGUCUUGAGUACAGUUGAGGUAGGCGGAAUUCGUGGUGUAGCGGUGAAAUGCUGAGAUAGCACGAAGAACUACGAUUGCGAAGGCAGCUUACUAAACUGCCACUGACAUUGAUGCUCGAAAGUGUGGGUAUCAAACAGGAUUAGAUACCCUUGUAGUC
rnacentral:rRNA from 1 species